UACAGAGACUGCAAGCGUUAUUCGGAUUCACUGGGCGUAAAGGGUGCGCAGGCGGCCGAGUGUGUGAGGCGUGAAAGCCCGGGGCUUAACCCCGGAAUUGCACCUCAAACCUACAACGGCUAGAGCAUUGGAGAGGGUAGCAGAAUUCAUGGUGUAGCAGUGAAAUGCGUAGAUAUCAAUGAGGAAUACCAGAGGCGAAGGCGGCGUACCUGGACAAUUGCU
rnacentral:rRNA from 1 species